AGUGGCGGACGGGUGAGUAACGCGUGAGAAUCUGCCUUGGUCUCGGGGACAACCACUGGAAACGGUGGCUAAUACCGGAUAAGCCGAUUGGUGAAAGAUUUAUUGCCCGAAGAGGAGCUCGCGUCUGAUUAGCUAGUUGGUGAGGUAAGAGCUCACCAAGGCAGCGAUCAGUAGCUGGUCUGAGAGGACGAUCAGCCACACUGGGACUGAGACACGGCCCAGACUCCUACGGGAGGCAGCAGUGGGGAAUUUUCCGCAAUGGGCGAAAGCCUGACGGAGCAAGACCGCGUGAGGGAGGAAGGCUCUUGGGUUGUAAACCUCUUUUCUCAGGGAAGAAGCUCUGACGGUACCUGAGGAAUCAGCCUCGGCUAACUCCGUGCCAGCAGCCGCGGUAAUACGGAGGAGGCAAGCGUUAUCCGGAAUUAUUGGGCGUAAAGCGUCCGCAGGUGGCGAUUCAAGUCUGCUGUCAAAGCACGGGGCUUAACUCCGUAAAGGCAGUGGAAACUGAAUAGCUAGAGUGCCGUAGGGGUAGAGGGAAUUCCCGGUGUAGCGGUGAAAUGCGUAGAGAUCGGGAAGAACAUCGGUGGCGAAAGCGCUCUACUGGACGGCAACUGACACUCAGGGACGAAAGCUAGGGGAGCGAAUGGGAUUAGAUACCCC
rnacentral:rRNA from 1 species